AGCAGCCGCGGUAAUUCCAGCUCCAAUAGCGUAUAUUAAAGUUGUUGCAGUUAAAAAGCUCGUAGUUGAAUUUCGGGAUUGGCGCAUCGGUCGUGCCUCACGGGGUAUGAACUGGUGCAGUCAAUUUCUCACCUUCUGGAGAACCGCGAUGUCCUUAAUUGGAUGCCGCGGGGAACCAGGACCUUUACUUUGAAAAAAUUAGAGUGUUUAAAGCAGGCAUUUUUGCUUGAAUACAUUAGCAUGGAAUAAUAAAAUAGGACGGCAUGGUUCUAUUUUGUUGGUUUCUAGGACCACCGUAAUGAUUAAUAGGGAUAGUUGGGGGCAUUAGUAUUCAAUUGUCAGAGGUGAAAUUCUUGGAUUUAUUGAAGACUAACUACUGCGAAAGCAUUUGCCAAGGAUGUUUUCAUUAAUCAAGAACGAAAGUUAGGGGAUCGAAGACGAUCAGAUACCGUCGUAGUCUUAACCAUAAACUAUGCCGACUAGGAAUCAGACGAUGUUAAUUUUUUAAUGACCCGUUUGGCACCUUACG
rnacentral:rRNA from 1 species